rnacentral:lncRNA from 1 species
CCGCAUUCCAACAACGUCGUCAGUCAGGACCACAGUUUUACGUUGUUUAAAAAAUAUUCAUUGCAACCAUGAUAUCAUGUCAAAUUUGUAACAAUCCAGUCAAAAAAUAAAAAUCAGUAGGAUGGUGUGGGCCAUUAUUACAAAAAUUCAUAAAAUAUCCGACAAUCGAUGAUAUACAAGCAUUUUCAUUGGAUUGUUAUUAUAAAUUUUUUAUAUGUAUACCUUCCUC